GGAGACUGUCGAUUCUGCAUCGUCCAGCAGGUCGGCCUCACCGAAGUAUUCGCCGUCGCCCAACAGGGCAAUGCGCAGCUCCUCGCCGUGAGGACCCUUGCUGAUGACCUCUGCCUGACCGUUGGCCACGAUAAAGAACUUCUGCUUGUCCUUGCCCUCCUGGACGAACAGCUGGCCGAUUUCCACCUCCUUCGUCUCGAACGAGCGUGCCAGGCGAUUCACAAUCUCGUCGUCAAACUCCGAGAACAACGGAAUGGCCUUCAGGCUCUUGGCCGAGAACGACGGUUCGCCGUUCAGGUACUGGAUGGGCAGGCGCUCACUCUUGCGAAGCUCUACCUUAGUACGGUUGACGCGGAACGUGCCGCCACUGACCUGCACCCACGGCAGGAGUUUCAACAAAAGUCUCGGGGUGAUGGAGCCCAUCUGUGGGGCCGUCUUGGUAGUUGUCGCCAACUUCUUGGCGGUAGCAGUAGUCACACU
rnacentral:antisense_RNA from 1 species